rnacentral:rRNA from 1 species
GAUCCUGGCUCAGAAUCAACGCUGGCGGCGCGCUUAACACAUGCAAGUCGCACGAGAAAGCGGGGGCAACCUCGUGAGUAAAGUGGCGUACGGGUGAGUAACACGUGGGUUAUCUACCUCUAGGUGGGGAAUAACGCUGGGAAACCGGCGCUAAUACCGCAUAAUCUCGGGAGAGCAAAGCAGCAAUGCGCCGAGAGAGGAGCCCGCGGCCGAUUAGCUAGUUGGUGAGGUAACGGCUCACCAAGGCAAAGAUCGGUAGCCGGCCUGAGAGGGCACACGGCCACACUGGCACUGAAACACGGGCCAGACUCCUACGGGAGGCA